UGGGGAAUCUUCCGCAAUGGACGAAAGUCUGACGGAGCAACGCCGCGUGAGUGAAGAAGGUUUUCGGAUCGUAAAACUCUGUCUUUUGGGGCGAACGUGAGUAUGGUGAACAAUCAUAGUCAGUGACGGUACCAAAGGAGGAAGCCACGGCUAACUACGUGCCAGCAGCCGCGGUAAUACGUAGGUGGCAAGCGUUGUCCGGAAUUAUUGGGCGUAAAGAGCGCGUAGGCGGGAUAGUCAGUCUGUUGUAAAGUGCGGGGCUCAACCCCGUGAUGGCAAUGGAAACAGCUAUUCUUGAGUGCAGGAGAGGAAAGUGGAAUUCCCAGUGUAGCGGUGAAAUGCGUAGAUAUUGGGAGGAACACCAGUGGCGAAGGCGACUUUCUGGACUGUGUCUGACGCUGAGGCGCGAAAGCCAGGGGAGCGAACGGGAUUAGAUACCCCGGUAGUCCUGGCCGUAAACGAUGGGUACUAGGUGUGGGAGGUAUCGACCCCUUCCGUGCCGGAGUUAACGCAAUAAGUACCCCGCCUGGGGAGUACGGUCGCAAGACUGAAACUCAAAUGAAUUGAC
rnacentral:rRNA from 1 species